rnacentral:misc_RNA from 1 species
GGUACCUUCUAUUUGGAGAUUCAAUCAAUGCAGAUAUACUUGUAAAUUUUGAUACGUCGUCCUCUGGUGCCAUAACAAUCAGUCCCAUUCUAAAUGACAUUGUUCGUUUGAGCUAUGCACUUCACCUAAUGCUGGUAUUUCCUCUCUUAAAUUUCUCCCUGAGAGCCAACAUUGACGAACUUAUAUUCCCUAAGAAGGAAUUACUAGCAACUGACACCAAAAGAUUCAUGUUUCUUAC